UACGGGGGGGGCAAGCGUUGUUCGGAAUUACUGGGCGUAAAGCGCGCGUAGGCGGCUCUUCAAGUCGAGUGUGAAAGCUCCAGGCUUAACCUGGGAAUUGCGCUUGAUACUGUUGAGCUAGAGGGUGGUAGAGGCGAGUGGAAUUCCCGGUGUAGCGGUGAAAUGCGCAGAUAUCGGGAGGAACACCAGUAGCGAAGGCGGCUCGCUGGGCCAUUCCUGACGCUGAGACGCGAAAGCUAGGGGAGCGAACAGG
rnacentral:rRNA from 1 species